UUAGGGGAUUUUAACGAAAUUUUAUAUCCUUCAGAAAAAUAGGGCGGUUUGACAAGACAACUUGGUAUGAUAAGAGAGUUUCGUGAAUGCCUAAUGGAUUGUGGGCUCGACGACUUAGGCUAUAUCGGUGAUCUUUUCACUUGGAGGAGAGGAGAAAUACGUGAGCGUCUUGAUCAGGCGGUCUAUAAUUUAGCGUGGGCAAAUAAGUUUCCACGAGCGGCAGUGAUAAGCGAAGAAGAUGUUCAUUCUGACCACCACCCAAUUGUACUGGACAUGGAUUAUUUGGAUGUAAAAUCAUUAAACGACCGGAGGGGCAUGUUAAACAAUUUGAGGCGAGGUGUUGAAGGAAGAGACGGUCACUGA
rnacentral:rRNA from 1 species